rnacentral:rRNA from 1 species
UACGAAGGGGGCUAGCGUUGCUCGGAAUCACUGGGCGUAAAGCGCACGUAGGCGGAUUGUUAAGUCAGGGGUGAAAUCCUGGAGCUCAACUCCAGAACUGCCUUUGAUACUGGCGAUCUUGAGUCCGGGAGAGGUGAGUGGAACUGCGAGUGUAGAGGUGAAAUUCGUAGAUAUUCGCAAGAACACCAGUGGCGAAAGCGGCCACCUGGACUGCACCUGACGCUGACACGCGAAAGCUAGGGGAGCGAACGGG